GGCUAAUGGUUUAUAAUCAAAAUUUAAUAUGGCUGGCAGUAAGAAUAAAGAAAAGUUUGAAGGAACAAACAUUUGUAAGGUUGUUACUGAGAGCAACAUGUCAAUUAAAGCAACUACUACAGUUGCCGAAAUAAGAAAAGGAAAAAUGACUUUAUUAAAAUACGCACUCGAAUGGUGGUGGUGGGCGCGUAAAAGACAAUUCACUAGAUGUAUAACAUUUUUUCCUAACUGUUCUGCAACUAUUGUUAAAUAAAACAUUUUUUUUAAAAAACAUUUUACUCUAUUUGCAUUGUGUAUAAAGUCCCUUGAAGCAAUUUAGUUGUAUCUGAUUAAUUUACUUGAAAUAUAAUAUUCUUUGCUCAAA